CAUUGUGGAGGCAGAUUAGUCUGGUCCCAGUUCUGUUUGUGUUGUAUAGCCCCUGUGGACCAUAGGAGUUGGCUAGACAGUACAAACAGAUCUGAGAGCAGGCUAUAGGUAGACUGUAUUUCCGGUAAAGGCAAGCAGGGGCACUCAUGGGAUUUCGAGUGAUGGUGAAUAUAAAAAAUACAUUGAAAUCCCACAAGUGCCCCUGCUGCGUUUUCAUGCAUGAAACGGGUGGGGUGGCAGUGUUUCCUUCUGGAGGGCGUCAAGGCCCACAAACAAUAUGGAGGGCAUUGGAAUGGUUUCUCCAAGUACCUCUAAACAAAUAAGCCAUGACAAUACAUUCUUUCUAAUCAGGACCAAAACAACAGCAAGACGCACUAAUGCAAAAAAAAGUAUAAUAAUGUCCAAUGGCAAAAUUUUACUAAUUGAAAAAAAGCACAUACAAUGAGUGAACAAAGCAUUAGGAACACCUGCUCUUUCUAUGACAUAGACUCACCAGGUGAAUCCAGGUGAAAGCUAUGAUCCCUUAUUGAUGUCGCCUGUUAAAUCCACUUUCAUCAGUGUAGAUGAAGAGGAGACAGGUUAAAGACAUGGUUUGUGUAUUCAUCCAUUCAGAGGGUGAAUGGGCAAGACAAAAUAUUUAAGUGCCUUUGAAUGGGGUAUGGUACAGUGGUUCCUCCUUUAAAAGCUGCGUCAUACUGCGGCACACCUUGCGUGCUGCCGCAGAAUUCUGUGGCAUGUCAUUAAAUUGUCAGCCAUUUUUUGUUACUGCAAGUUAUUUCUAGUUUGACCACCAGAGGGCAGCUUUGAGAAGCAUUUGAUAGUAUUCCGAAUUGGCAUUACCAGAUAAUUUAAAACCUUUUUUGUAAUAACAUAGUAUAUGGGAUUGAUUUUAAGAAAUUUAGCUUAAUUAAUUUGAUUAAACUACCCAUCCCGGAUCCGGGAGAAUUGUCAUCACCUGACACUAAUUAGCAUAACGCCACGGACAAAAAAUAUUCAUAUUCAUGAAAUCACAAGUGAAAUACAGCUUAGCCUUUUGUUAAUCACCCUGUCGUCUCAGAUUUUGAAAUGAUGCUUUACAGCCAAAGCAAGACAUGCGUUUGUGUAAGUUUAUCGAUAGCCUAGUAUAGCAUUAUGUCCAGCUAGCAGCAGGAAGCUUGGUCACGAAAAUCAGAAAAGCAAUCAAAUUAACCGUAUACCUUUGAUGAGCUUCGGAUGUUUUCACUGACGAGACUCCCAGUUAGACAGCAAAUGUUCAUUUUGUUCCAUAAAGAUUAUUUUUAUAUCCGAAAUACCUCCGUUUGUUCUUCACGUUUGGUUGAGAAAUCCACCGGAAACUGCGGUCACGACAACGCCGAAAAAUAUUCCAAAUUAGAUCCAUAAUAUCGACAGAAACAUGGCAAACGUUUUUUAUAAUCAAUCCUCAAGGUAUUUUUCAAAUAUAAUAAUAUAUCAACCGGGUCAGUUGGCUUCUUAGUAGGAGCGAGAGAAACAAUGGCCGCAUUUGUCUAUUGCGCACAAAUCGCUCUGAGCGCCACCAGCUGACCACUGACGCAAUGUUGUCGCUCACGCUCAUUUUUCAAAAUAAAAGCCUGAAACUAUGUCUUGUGACACUAGACACAUUAGGGAAGCCAUAGAAAAAGGAAUCUGGUUGAUAUCCCUUUCACUGCUCAAUAGGGAUGCAGAGGUUUCUAAAUAAGAGUCACUUCCUGAUUGGAUUUUGCCUGCAAUAUCAGUUCUGUUAUACUCACAGACAAUAUUUUUACAGUUUUGAAAACUUUAGAGUGUUUUCUAUCCUAAGCUGUCAAUUAUAUGCAUAUUCUAUUAUCUGGUCCUGAAAAAUAGCCUGUUUACUUUGGGAACGUUAUUUUUCCAAAAAUGAAAAUAGUGCCCCCUAGUUUCAAGAGGUUAAUAUUAUGGUGUUUCUAUUCAGAGAAAAAAUGAAACCCUCAGGGUUUCCCGUUAGGAUGGAAUGGAAAAUAUCCUGCUGUACAACGUGAUGGUAGGGAGUAGGCUACAGGAUUGGAGGAUUCUAAGUUGUUUACCUUCAAGAGACAACUUUUUUCCAAUAUUUCUGUAAAUCAGUUAUAUUUAUUCCCAUAGUAAAUGGACCCAUAACUAAAUCAACCUCAAUUUCAAAGAGUAUUAUUUUACGAAAUGUGUUUAUUUGUUUAUUAGGCUACUGUGCUGUCUACAAUACAUACUGUAGUAAACAUGGGAAAGUGCCUAAUUCCUUACAUAAGGGAGAGCAGGUCAUGUCUGUACUAUAGAAUGCAGGGCACGCGGGAGAUCGGUGUUAUUUCGUAGUUGUGAUGUCUUCACUAUUAUUUUACAAUGUAGAAAAUAGUAAAAAUAACAAUACUGGAAUGAGUUGGCGUGUCCAAACUUCUGAUUGGUACUUGCUUAAUUCAUUUGAUUAAUAUUAUGGUGAUUCUAUUCUAUGAAUAAUGAAAAACCCUCUGGGUUUCCGUUAGGAUGGAACAGAAAAUAUGGCGCUGUACAACGCCCAUAAAUUCUGAGCAUUGUCAGUUUCUAAAUUCAGACUGUUGAGCUCUCGGUGCGCACACUGGACGUUUAGGCCGAUGAGUAGUGUUGAUUUGAGCAUUCUGGCCUUACAACGGCAGUCAAGCACUCAAGCUAACGUUGGCUAGCUACUUCCAGACACAAAUUUACUUGCUCAAGCAGAGCUAGUCAGGCAGUUUUCGUGUUACCCGGAGCAUUGGUGACUGUGCUGCUGGAAACAAUUUAAUUACGCAUUUUUGCCGACUUUACGGACACUGGCCAUAUUCAACCGGUGUUGAGUAAGUUCAUUAUUCUGUGCUCUGGUACACUCAGACGAGAGUGCUCUGAAAUCGGUGUAAAUGGCCAGAGCGAAUUUAUGAAAGCACCCAAAUGUCCAUUGAGAACGCACAAUGACUAUACCAUUUAGCUAAGCUAAGAAUGAUGGGAAUAAUCAAGUCAAUAAACAUUGGGUAGUCAGAUAGCCUAUAGUUAAUAUCCUGGCAAGUUUGAUGUAUAACUACUAACAUUAGGUAGAUAGCUAACAUACCAGUACGUACUGUUGUAAUGAUGUGCUAUGUGGUUCGUAAGGACAGCGUAGCUAACAAAUUGUCAGCCAACAUAACGUGUAAGGUAACUUAUUUGAAAAGUCAUUACUUUAUUACAUUGAGUAGCAAGCUAUCCCUUGAUCAUUAGGGCAAAUCUGAUUUGUUUUUUCACACCUACCUCGGAAAUUAGACUAUUCUUUAGUAAAGGUUGCAUAGUCUAUUGUUCAGCUAUUAGUCCCCCUCCCCAACUUGCAACAAAUUGUUGUUGUUCCCAUCUCGUUCCUUUCCCUCUUCCACGCGUCAUCAUUCUGCGCCUGAGUGGCUCACUUGUGGGCGUGCUGGCAGGAUAUGGCAGCAUCUUCGGUCGUAAGUCAAGAAUUCUGCAUACAGGUGCAGGUUUGUAUGAAGGUGUGGUUAUUCACAGGCAAAUUGUUAUAUGCUAUGGGGGUACAUUUGUGUCUUUUUGUCGAGAGCAAAACUUUAUUUUCAAUCAAAAAUAAUUGUUCUGAAAGCAACUUUUUUCCGACACAAAGGAAGUCAUAGCGGACACCUACGAAGAAGGACUAUGUGAUGAUGGAAUCUCAGGUAAGCAGCACUGGGUGUUCUUCCAUCCAACUUUUACAUUACUUUCUUUCAUGGCAACUCAUAAGCCGGCCAUGUCAUAUUUGUUUCAUAGUUGAUAUAAUCAUAUUUCAUGACAGUGUAACGGUUAGAUGUUUUUACAGGAGGAUGAAAGAACACAAUAUGUCUGUCACAAAGAGUUUUUGCAGCGUGUAGAGGGUGCAGGUAUCAUUGCAUAUUUCCCAUCACCUAAUGAACAACCACAAUACCAGUCUGGUGUAAAGCAUAUUUCCCAUCACCUAAUGAACAACCACAAUACCAGUCUGGUGUUAAGCUUUCUGUGCUGUGUUGACGUAUACCUGAAAACGACAUCUGCUGCUUUAUAUCUCAGUUAUUCUUUUCAUAUCUACAAAAAAUAAGCAAUUUUCUUUACUUUCAGAGAGCGAGCUGAUCAAGGGGUCGAAAAUUUAGAUAUUUCCAGAUGUUCACUGUCCGAGGAACAGGCCGUGGAAGCUUUACUGUGGCAAAAGUGUCCAUAACCAGAGGUAAUUCAAAUGUUCACUGUCCGAGGAACAGGCCGGGGAAGCUUUACUGUGGCAAAAGUGUCCAUAACCAGAGGUAAUUAAACUGUUCACUGUCCGAGGAACAGGCCGGGGAAGCUUUACUGUGGCAAAAGUGUCCAUAACCAGAGGUAAUUGAAAUGUUCUGUGUUCUUUUUCUCCAUCUCUGCCUGUCUUGUUGUACAUGGAACCUGUCUCACAUGCAUUUAUUAAAAAACCUUUAAGAUGUCAGCUGCUAAUUUUCAGAUUUACACCACAUAAACACAGCCAUUUUCACUGGACUAUCUGUUGCUGUCAAGUCUGUCAAGUGAUUUCCCUGGGGGUUUAGCCUUGCAAUAACCAAGUGGUGAGACACAUAGCUCUCUAUAUGUUUCAGUUACACUCCGAUAGGUGUCUGCGUCACAUACAGUAUCUUCUAUUGACAUCAUCUUCUAUUGUUUGUCCUCAUGUGUCUGUUUUUCAGCAUAAAGUACUCUGUAGUCACUUAGUGUGGACACCAGGUGAGACAACACACGCACAAUAAGUCUCUUCUUCACUUCAUCCCUCUCCCUAAAUCCUCUAGGUUAUAUCAGCUGUAUUGAUGAACCCCUCCCGCAUCUGAACUGGCUGACACAGAGGGCACAGCAUUAUCAUAGGUAUGAUUUGAUGUGAGAGAGGAAGCCAGUCCCGUCAUCGCCACCUCACCCGCUCUUAAGAUAACCUUCGGGCCAACUGGGGGCCUAAGGCUGGUUAUGAACUGAGAGAAUAUUAGGGUAGCACUGUAAUUCAUUAAUCAUAUGCUGUCUGCCGCUGUUCUUAUCUAUUUCCCUUUCUGUCUUCUACACCUCUCUCUUCCUCGUUUUAUAAUGCACACCAUAUGUGCAUUGGAGUACAGAUUGAACUUGUAUUUAUAAUAUAAUAUUACAAAUAUCAUAAUUAUAAUGCAUCUAUGUAUUUAUAACACCUGGAUAAUGGACUUCUUUCAAUAAAGCAUUUCACAUUCUGGUUGAAAUUAAGUAUUUCAUUGAAGUACUAUCCUGUAUCCUCAGAUCAAUGAGGAUGAAGGGAGUUAGAUAUGCAUAGUUUUUUUUCUGUAUAUAUGAAUUACAAAUCAAUCAUGUUUCUAGUCUAUUACAUAGUUACAAUGUGUAAUCAUUGAUGUCCCAGCAGCAGGAGUGGUAAACACUGUUGAAGUCUAUAAUUCUAAUAUAUACAUGCAGACACGGCGUCAUUCAAAUAAUGGAGUUUGAAAUGACUGAUAAAGAAUGUCUCAGAUUUAUACCUGAACCGCACCUUUAUUUGCCAAGGAAGAGUACAUUAUCAGUGAAUAUAUUCAAUGUGGGGAUCUCAUGCCUGGUAAUAACUACAGUACAUUAUCAGUGAAUAUAUUCAAUGUGGGGAUAUCAUGCCUGGUAAUAA